rnacentral:lncRNA from 1 species
GGAGCCCCCGGGUGGACAUCGGCCCCUUGCCUACGCAGGGCCGCCGCGAGGAUUUUCGGAGGGUCCGCCGCCGGGUCUGGGGAACCCAGCCUUCCAUGCCAAUCUACCGCUAGCUGGAGCUGCCCCAGCCCCGCUGGUCAGGGACCCUGGGUGAGGGCCAGCUUUCCGGUUAGCAUCACCUGGGGGGAGCAGGAGCGAGAGUAGGCCUCAAAAAUGACGUAAAAAGGCGCAGGCGACUCCUGUGUGCACUGUUGGGAGAGCUGUGAUUUAUCUAUCUAUCAGUGGGCUUUCCCUGCUCUCUGGCUGGUUCUGAGGGCUGGACCUCGCUCCCCGCCACUGCCACCCCCACCCCCCAGGAUUCAGUGGUCUCCUGCUGCUAUCAGAAGUGGCAUCUCAGGCCUGCCACUUGCUUUUGGAGUUGGGUGCAGAAGUGUCCUGACUCUCAGCCCCUUGGAAGGCCCAGGUGAUUCCUGUGCCCCACAAGACUGAGAGGCGCUGCUUCAAGAGAUUACAGCUGAAUAGAAAAAGAAAAGUCGGAAAAUGAUAGCAGUGAAAUUUUUCUUUAGAAGAUGCUGUUCAAAAAUCUGCUCAGGUGAAUCUCGACGCCAAAGUGGCACCUUCACUACUGACUUCUCUCCCAGUGACUCUUUUGUCAGCUGUCGUGUCGCUGGAUUUUCACUUUAGGACCUGAACGCAGAACUUACUUACUUCCUACUGUAGAUGGCACUUUUCUCUGAGGACUCAUGCCUCACUCAUUUCUGGAACAAUUUAUGCCGAGGAUCAAGACCAUCUCUCCAGGGCUGUUUCUUUGCCUGAAGAUAAGAGGACACAAGUGGGUGACCUUCACAUUUUUUUCUCUAUGGAAUUGCCUGGUGUAGACAGAAAAACCCAACUGCAAAAACCUAACAAAGCACACAGAAGCUGUUACGACGUUGGAGGAUGAGCUGGGUGAAAAUUAGAUUAUGACCUGGAGCUCUGACUGUAGAAUUGAUUACUAUAAGGUGUUAUAAAACAGCAUUUUUAGGAGAUGAAUAAAACUUUGUAAAGUACUACUGUCAAA